rnacentral:rRNA from 1 species
GAUGAACGCUGGCGGCGUGCCUAAUACAUGCAAGUCGAGCGGAGCGGGGACGGGUGAGUAACACGUGGAUAACCUCCUAUAAGACGGGGAUAAGUUCGGGAAACCGGGGCUAAACCGGAUAGGUAUGGAUGGAUCGGUGCUGCAUUAGCUAGUUGGUAAGGUAACGGCUUACCACGGCAACGAUGCAUAGCCGACCUGAGAGGGGGAUCGCCCACACUGGAACUGAGACACGGUCCAGCCUCCUACGGGAGGCAGCAGUAGGGAAUCUUCCGCAAUGGGCGAAAGCCUGACGGAGCAACGCCGCGUGUGUGAUGAAGGUCUUCGGAUCGUAAAGCUCUGUUAUUAGGUAAGCGGUACCUGAUCAGAAAGCCCCGGCUAACUACGUGCCAGCCGCCGCGGUAAUAC